rnacentral:rRNA from 1 species
UACGAAGGGUGCGAGCGUUAAUCGGAAUUACUGGGCGUAAAGCGUGCGCAGGCGGUUGUGCAAGACAGAUGUGAAAUCCCCGGGCUUAACCUGGGAACUGCAUUUGUGACUGCACGGCUAGAGUACGGCAGAGGGGGAUGGAAUUCCGCGUGUAGCAGUGAAAUGCGUAGAUAUGCGGAGGAACACCGAUGGCGAAGGCAGUCCCCUGGGCCUGUACUGACGCUCAUGCACGGAAGCGUGGGGAGCAAACAGG